rnacentral:rRNA from 1 species
GAACUCUGCAAAUUGACACCGUAACUUCGGGAGAAGGUGUGCCGCUGGCGGUUAGUGACUUCGCGUCACGAAGCUGUUGGUGGUCGCAGUGAAAUGGCGGUUGUGACUGUUUACUAAAAACACAGGACUCUGCGAAGUCGUAAGACGACGUAUAGGGUCUGAUGCCUGCCCGGUGCUGGAAGGUUAAGGGGAUAUGUCAGAGCAAUCGAAGCAUUGAACCGAAGCCCCAGUAAACGGCGGCCGUAACGAUAACGGUCCUAAGGUAGCGAAAUUCCUUGUCGGGUAAGUUCCGACCUGCACGAAGGGCAUAACAACAUCCGCACUGUCUCGACCAGGGACUCAGCGAAAUUACAUUGGGGGUGAAGAUGCCCUCUACCCGCGGAAAGACGGAAAGACCCCAUGAACCUUUACUGCAACUGGCAGUGAUUUUCGGGUUGUUCUGCGUAGGAUAGGUGGGAGGCUUUGAAGUCGGGCUUCCGGGUUCGACAGAGCCAACGUUGAAAUACCACCCUGAAUAAUCUGGAAAUCUAACCUGCGCCCAUGAUCUGGGCGAGGGACACUGCCUGGUGGGCAGUUUGACUGGGGCGGUCGCCUCCUAAAUUGUAACGGAGGCGUGCGACGGUUCCCUCAGGCUGAUUGGAAACCAGCCGUAGAGUGCAAACGCAUAAGGGAGCUUUACUGCGAGACUGACAAGUCGAACAGUUGCGAAAGCAGGUGUUAGUGAUCCGGUGGUACCACAUGGAAGGGCCAUCGCUCAUCGGAUAAAAGGUACUCUGGGGAUAACAGGCUGAUCGCGCCUGAGAGUUCACAUCGGCGGCGCGGUUUGGCACCUCGAUGUCGGCUCAUCGCAUCCUGGGGCUGGAGCAGGUCCCAAGGGUUUGGCUGUUCGCCAAUUAAAGCGGUACGCGAGCUGGGUUUAAAACGUCGUGAGACAGUUUGGUCCCUAUCUUCCGUGGGCGCAGGACACUUGAGAGGAGCUAUCCAUAGUACGAGAGGACCUGGAUGGACGAACCUCUGGUGCUCCGGUUGUCACGCCAGUGGCAUAGCCGGGUAGCCAUGUUCGGAACAGAUAACCGCUGAAGGCAUAUAAGCGGGAAGCUGGCCUCAAGACUAGGUGUCCCUGACGCAAGUCACUAAAGGCCCCUCGAAGACUACGAGGUUGAUAGGCUAGGUGUGGAAGCACAGCGAUGUGCGGAGCUAACUAGUACUAAUAGGCCGUGCGACUUGACCUC